rnacentral:lncRNA from 1 species
CAGAAGGUUCUAGCCUAUUGGCAAGCUGCAGUGAAGAUGUGCACGAAGCAGAUGACCCUGAGCCAGCAGAGGCCUCACAGCUUGAAGAUAAUCAAGAUGUGAAUAUGAAAUGUAGUUUUCUGGGACUUCCCUUAUCAUUAGGAUUUGCUUUUCAACUUGUACAGCUCUUUGGCGCUCCAGGUCUUCCACUAGGUACCAGUU